rnacentral:snoRNA from 1 species
GCUCUCUGGUUCCCUUUCCCAUCAGAUCUCAACACUGGUCUUGAUGGUCGUAAAGGAGGGAGUACAUGCUGAAGCUGGCCCUACAGCCUUAUAUAAGCACGUGGCCUAGAUUUAAACAGGG